CACUUCGGUGGCCUGUGGCAGGCGUGUUUGCCACAGUCAUAUACACAGACAGCGAGUUGGAGUAAAUUCGCAAGCUCUACUAUGAAAGGAAGCAUACUGGGAUAGAGGACUGCAUAAUGUCAAAGGAACUUAGAUGCAGACUAGUGAGAAACAAACAUGAUCUCCAUUCUAAGAGCACGUGUUGAGACAGAAGAUGCUAGAUAUCCCACAAAGCAAGAAAUAACAUGGCCAUUUAUAAGAUGUUAUUUAUUACUGUUGGGUUCUUUUGAGUAUUUGUACAUUGUUGACGCCAGCAAAUCAAAUCUAAUAUAAUAGGAUGUCAUUACGUCAUUUUUCUUGAGGUAUGCAUGUACAUGAAUUCAGUAACAAUGGCAAUCAAUUACCUUUUAAAUCCACUGGGGAAAAUGCACAUGCAUACUUCAGGAAAAACAUAAAAGGAAUAUGAAAGUUCAUCUGAUGUUUUCAAUCUGCAGACGUACUUUAUCGAGGAGAUUAAUCCAAAUCCUACAUCAUCAGUGUUUUCGAUACGUUCGCAGGCUUAAACAACAAUUUAAUGGAAAAGAUGAGCAAUAGGGUGACAGAUUCUUGGACUGUAUUCAUUGUGCAUCUUUAUCAAUCAGUUGUUUCUGUAUCUUUAGUGUUCUCGUAAGGGUGAAAGAACCACAGACUAAACACGAAGCUAAACUCCACUCAAAAUGAAGAAAGAGUUGUCGUUGUAGUUGAAGAAAUGUUUACUGGUAACUCGUUUACAGUGACAUGGAGUGAAAACUGCAGGAUAAUAAAAAUACAGAAAAGGAAAAUGCACUAGUGUCUAGUGUUGUUUUUUUACAAACUUAGCAUUGUACUGGGAUUAGCAUUGCAGAAGCAUGAACUACCUUGUAUAUAUUUGUAAAUACAAUGUUUUUAAUCUUAAUUUAUUAAAUGCAUUUUUCAUCAAAUAACCCUUAAUAUAUGAACUUUAACAUGUAAAUAAGGAAAUACAUCGACUUACGACAUUGAUUCAUCAGUCUUUGUGUGUAGAUGCAAAUGGUUCCAUGUACUGAUUCACCACUGUGGACAUGUGGCUUUCACUUCCUGGUCUGUCUAACAGGAAGUGAUGCAUUUGAACUAACUUUAUCGAACAGGGGAGUGUGAUGUCUGUUUUAGUGGCCUCAGUGAGGUCACUAAACCUAGGCUACAAGGAGUUCAAAUCAGUCUUUCUGCCUGCCUUCUGGGAGAAGUAAGACAACUUCCGCAAUUAGUCUGAGAAAUGUCUUUACAUUAUCUCGGUCAGCUGUUUUAACCUCGACCUUUCUGACGUGUCCGUCUUUACCAGGGAACGUGGCGGAGAUCCUAGCCAUAGGCCAGGAGUUGCGUUUGGCCUGUUUGUCUCUGAGCAGGACUAAAUCCCCGACUUGUAGGUUUCUGCGAAGCGUCAUCCACUUCUGUCUGUGUUGUAAAUAAGGUAGGUAUUCUUGUCGCCAUCGUGCCCAAAACUGAUUUGCGAGAGCUUGGACUUGUCUCCACUGUUUCGUAUACAGAUCCUUCUCCGAGAAGUCACCAGGAGGAGGUGGGACUCUGGUCUUCUGCGUGAGGAACAUCGAUGGAGAGAGUAUCAGGGGGUUGUCUGGAUCUGUAGAUACUGGUAAAAGUGGUCGCGCGUUCAUAAUCACAGUGACUUCUGCCAUUAACGUAGAGAGCACUUCAUGGGUGAGGCAAGUGUUUAGCUGGAGCAACAUGGAAUCCAAGAUUCUUCUCGCGGUGCCUAUCAUUCUCUCCCAACAGCCCCCCAUAUGGGAAGCAUGUGGUAGGUUGAACUCCCAGACACACCCUUGCUCACUUAGAUACCUUUGCAUGUUUGGGUCCAGCUGGCUUUUACCUAUCCCGAGUUCCUUGCUAGCGCCGAUGAAGUUAGUUCCGCGGUUGGACCGGGCCUUUAAUGGCAAAGAAGCGCCUGAGUGCAUUUAUGCAACUUGAUGUGCCCAAGGACUCUAUUAGCUCAACAUGAACAGCUCUUGAGCUCAUACAACUGAACAUGAUGGCCCAUCUCUUGCUUCCUGCUCGGGUCUGCCUAGCUGCGACUGACUAAGGACCAAAGACGUCCAGUCCCACAUAUGUAAACGGAGGGCAUGCCUGAAGGCGUUCGGAUGGUAAAUCUGCCAUGUGUUGUUCCUCGAGCUUCCCUCGGAGCUUCCUGCAUGUCGUGCAGUUGUGGAAUACUGAGUUUCUGAGUCUCUUGCCACCCAAGACCCAUAAUCCUGCUGCCCUUACAGCUCCCUCCGUGAUGUGAAGACCCUGGUGCUUCACUUGCUCAUGAUGGUGGCGUGUCAGCAGUAGGGAUACAUGGCUGUCUUUAGGCUAAAUUAUGGGUUGCUUUUCACCAGACUCCAGGUUGGAGUGUUGUAGUCGACCUCCGACACGGAUAAAGUUGUUCUCGAUGAUCGGGCUGAGCUUUUGGAGACAGCUGUUUUUGGGAAUUGGUUUUUGCGCUUGGAGAGCUGCAAGUUCCUUUGUGAAUUCUGACCUUUGUGACGCUUGAAGGACAACGUGUAUUGCUUAGUCCAGUUCCUCUGGGGUGCGAGGACGCUUACAUCUGUGCCACCCUUUGCACUCACGGUCUUCGUUCCUCUGUUUGCAGGAUCUGGCGAUGUGGAUGAGGAAGGCGACGCCUCUGAGGAGUGAGCGGAGACUGGAGAAGCAUUGGAAGCGGACUGGGGUGAUGAUCUCAGGAAGGAUGGUCCGGAGAACCAGGUGGUCUGCGCCAGGCGAGAUGCAGGAUGGGUCUGUUGACCAGGACAGUCGCCAAGCACAAGCAAGGCACUACAAAACCCUUCAAGAGAUCUGCAAAAAACCCUAGCCAAAUAAUGAAGUUGUUUCCCAACUAUUCAACCUGGAAUUUGAAGCUAGAAGAACUUCUUUUGACUCGGGCACACUCAAGGAGCAGGACAGACCCACCAAGAUUAUUGAAGCAUAUCCAUGUUUCAAGGAUCUGAAGCAUGUUCUUGAUGAACUAGGAAGGAUCAUUGACAGUUACAACCCCAACUAUCUCAGCAAGGUCAAGGAACGGUGUGACAGUUUCCAGACAAAAGCAACUUUUUAUGGUGUCAUGAAAAAACUCAUGAAACCUCAAGUUAUAUUAAGCGAUGAGGAAAAAACAAUAAACUUGUCAAAGGCCCUACCAGCCAUGUUUCCAUCAUCAACUGGUCCAUCAAAGAAGUUGAGACAAGAAACCCUCUGAAGACCCAGAUGUGUUCCUGAAGAAGAGAUACAUUUCUUGUCCUCACCUGGUUGUAGAUGAAGGAAAUUCAAACCGAGAUACUGAAGGAUGCCAUACAUGUGAGAGAUGCAACUCGGUCCUAUUGGAAAGCCAUGGCAGACUGGAACAAGUUUCUUGGCUAGUUUGUAUAAAUGGGACACUUGGUGACAGAUUUGUGUUUUUUUUCCAUUUUUUUUGUACUCUGCAUCUGCAUCUUUUUGUGAAAUUUAGUUUUUCAAUCUUGGGUUUUUCUUAAGAGUGUUGUGCCUUCCUCAUGUUAAAUCAAUAAUGAAUAAUGUUCCAGACAUUCCAGAGUGUAUGCAAAACCAUUGAGUAACAUUCCUCCAGAAGGAAUGUAGUGUUACACUUAGAUUUACAACAUGUUUCAGAGAAGAAAAUUACUUUAUUAAGUCUAAGGAAUAUUGGGCCAUUUACUGUUUACAUAUCUAUAUUGUCUGCUCUCUUGGUUUGAAGCAGUUAGUCAGUGGGCUGGUUGUCUAAGAAUACGUAGUCUGACGGAACAUUCUGUGGAUGCUUGAAUUGCAAAUAAAAGUUUCGUUUUCAACCAAUUUCACU